rnacentral:sRNA from 18 species
CUCACUUUGUGUAAAUAACACACACGUAUCGGCACAUCCGCCGGGGUGCCCUGAGGUGAUUUAUCACCGCCAGGGUCGGCGUUAUGGGAUACGUGGAGGCAUAAC